UACGUAGGGGGCAAGCGUUGUCCGGAAUCAUUGGGCGUAAAGAGCGCGUAGGCGGCCCAGUAAGUCCGCUCUGAAAGUCAGGGGCUCAACCCCUGGAUGCGGGUGGAUACUGCUGGGCUAGAGUCCGGAAGAGGUGAGUGGAAUUCCCGGUGUAGCGGUGAAAUGCGCAGAUAUCGGGAGGAACACCAAUGGCGAAGGCAGCUCGCUGGGACGGUACUGACGCUGAGACGCGAAAGCGUGGGGAGCAAACAGG
rnacentral:rRNA from 1 species